UACGGUGAAUACGUUCCCGGACCUUGUACACACCGCCCGUCAAGCCAUGGAAGCCGGGUGUACCUAAAGUCGGUAACCGCAAGGAGCUGCCUAGGGUAAAACUGGUAACUGGGGCU
rnacentral:rRNA from 1 species